ensembl:lncRNA
GGCGUUCUGUAUAGUGGAAGCACUAUUACACAAAUGAAACAAUGUAGCUUUUGAAUGGCAGUUUAUGUUGACCACAAGAGGGCAGCAUACACCACCCAAUAGCAUGCGCAGGCUUGCCAAAAAAAAGUCACACACAUCAGCCUGGUUAGCCUGGAGGAAUCAACACACAGUAAAAGUCCAUGUGCAAGGCCACAAUGACAAGUGCCGCAGGCUGGUACACCGUGCACAAAGGACCAUGUUAGGCACAACAACCAGUGCGUUUGCAGACCCUUUGCCGGUCAGCUCGGCGGAAAAUGUACAUUUGACAAAACACAGUAGAAAACUAAAUGUCACCCUGUCUUUAUUCAUUUUGUGCAGAAAUACAGAGGUAACAGGACAAAGAAAUGUGCCUGCCACAGGCGAUCGCAUGGGCUGUGAUGAGGGCGGGAUGAUAUUUGUGACUUUGUCUGCAUGAAAACAUGCACACUGAAAGAUCGAAUGUAAUGUUUAUAGUGAUCAACAAAUGUUUGUCUUUUACAGAAUUUUAGCAGCGGAGCUCUUCUGUGUUUACAGAAAUGUUGGGUCUUGUAUUGCUUUGUUACAAAGCCCUUGCCUUUAACCAUUGCCCCACUAAAGAUAAUAAAAACAAAGGCAUUCAAAACAAAAGUAAAGAAAUGUCUUGCAGAUGUGGAAUUUAAUUAAUAUAAUUAAAUGCAGUGGACAUGUAUAAUUGAAAUACACUGGGCUGGUGUGUGUUGUUUCUUUUGUUCCAUUUUCUCUAUAGGUUUUUACUAAGACUGCUGAACAUGCAAGUUUGCUCUUCUUCACUACUUUCCUUGGCAAUAUGGUGCUCGGCAUUAAGACUGUUACACAUUUACAAAUUGAAACAAGACAAUUGAAUGAAAAUCUUUUCAGUGGGAUGUCUUUUUCGGCAAUCUUGUGUCAUUGACAAAUAUGUGUCUGUUAAACAGCUACAUCUUUUGAAAACAAAGAAAUAAAUCAAAUUAAAUGUACCGGUGUUUACCGAAUGUCCCUCUGGUGACGGCCUUUACAACCAAACGGGUGAAUAUUAACACACACUGUAUAUUUAUGGGGCAUAGUCUUGCUCUUUCUCAUAAAUAAUUGCUUGUUUGUGUUUUUUCAACCCUCAAUAAAAAUCUUCAGGCUCUAUUGGCUACCACUAUUGUUGAAUUUUUGAUAACAAUCAAAACAACAUUGCGGUGGAAGAAGAUCAAUAGCUCACACCACUCUCACCGCCAUCACGCGCACAAUGAAGAGAAUAGCCAGAGCGAAGAAGCAUUCCAACUCCAUCAUCAAUACGGUUCAUGAUCUUUGAGGAAAGAAAUGUUCCAGGAGCAAUGGUUAAUAGUGUUAUUUUCUCCCCACAUCGUCACGAUAUCCAUUGACAGCCUCAGCGCACACACACACACACACACGCACACACGCCCUGCAGCUGUGUGUUGUAGUGUCCCUUCUCCUAUUAACCAGGUUGCCUGAGAAUCAAUAGAAAACAUAAAGAGGCUUAAUCUUUUCAGGUGCUCGGUGCUGAUUGCCUAUUACACAAUAAUAACACACCUUGAAUCCCACGGAGCAUGAGGGCGAGAAACACAGUCACCUCGUCCGCGCACAUUACACACGGCCACAAGCAGGCGCACGGUAAAUCUAUAGGUUUACAACCCAACAGAUGGCGGCGGCGGUGGCGCUGGGCCUUUACGAGGGGGGUGUUGGCCCACGCGGCGAGAGGAAUCGCAGCAGGAACAGUGGGAUUUCAGGGGAUAGAGUUUAUCCGCCGCGCGGAAUGAGACGCUGCCGGCGUCUCCGUUGGUCGACUGCGCUCUCCCGUCCUCUGCUUUUAGGCGGUAGAAGUUUCUCCGAGGCUGAACAACAGCUGCUGCAGUAGUAUUUCACCCCAGUGGAGCACGAGGUGAAUUAUAAGCCUGCAUGCUGGGAUUUGAAGUGGAACACUGAAAAGCACCCGCAGACGGACACGGCUUUGCAUUUCACCCGUCAGCAGUGACUAACAGUUAACGUUAAUGAGCAGUUUGCUAUUUCCCACAUUCAGCGAUGCCCCGUUGUAAGUCAUUCGGUGUCGGGCUGUCAGAGUCACUCCUGCAGAAAAGCCCCGAAUGAAUUCCAGAGAUGUGGAGGACUGGAGUCUGGUUGUUGACUUGUUGGCCUGUGCUCCUACGCACUGAGCCAGCAGGACAGGUGGAGGAUCUGGGAAUCAGGCAAGUCCAGGACUGGAACCAGAGCAACGGACGGACUUGACGUCCCUAGAGAGCUUCUCAAACUGCUCUCAAGUCCUGGCAAGGUAGAGAUGGACG